rnacentral:tRNA from 1 species
GGCAGCAUAGCUUAACCUGGUUAUAGCGCCACGCUCAUAACGUGGAGGUUCCGAGUUCAAAUCUCGGUGCUGCCA